GGAACAGGAAGGGGCUCUGCCUGUUCAAACCUCACUUGUCCCAGGCAAGAUCCACCUUGAAAUCUGCCUCUUCAGAAAAGUUUUCUCUGCUCUUCUCAGUUGUCUAGAUGGAACAGUGGACUAUCCAGCCACCGCCAAGGGCUCCCCAGUCCGGAGCAGUUUGUGGCAUGUGGUAGCAAUGGGCCCUGGAUUAGAUGAAACUUACAUGGUCACCCUAUGAUAACAGGCAGCCAGAGCAGCAGAGGAAAACCAGGAGGAGCCAAUAUCAUGACGGACAUUGGAUUUCAUGACAUGAGGUCCCUGGAGACUUCAGCAGCAGAUGUUUGAGUUGUGAGCAUGCAACCCGGGUUUCAGAGGGUGAGAGAGGCGCCGGAAUCAUCCAGCCGUCCUCCUCGUCAAAGUUAUGGGCAAUUUGACCUGCCAUUUAGCUGUUUCCUGGAGCCGGUUGAAUGGUUCUUAGGGCCGUUUCUACCUUGAAGACAACACAGGGCUCCAGGAUAAGAAACAUCAGAAGCCUCAACAGGAGACUGCAAAUUCUUGGCUAUUUAAUUGGAGCCUUUUGCUGCUCUUGAAACCAGCUGGAGAGAAGGAGCAAGCGAAGAGCUUGAAGAGCUGGUCUUUGAGUCAGAGCUAAGUAUAGCAUAGCCAAGUGCUUCAUCUCCCCACUCACCAUAUCGCUGUGGAUUUUGAAGGAGGUUGGCUCCAGGGAGAAAAUAUUUAAGGCUGGAGAAAUAGUUUUCUUCAGUUUGUCUUCUGUGGAUGCAAAGCACAAAUGUUACGCUGGUUCUUACUGAUUAACGUGCUAACAAGUUAAACAGUUUUUCAGUGUCCAGCCUCGCCUCUUCUCAUGGCCGCUGUGCACACGCUGGGGGGCCACUGUGGGGAGGCCAUGCCCGAGGCAACCAAGCUCCCAUCCUGGCCCCUGGUUCCCAGGAUGCACUUCUUUCUCUGGGUAUCAUUGGUAUCUUCUUCAGGCUGUCUCUGUAUCCUGUCUUUCCUCAUCCACGUCUGUCUUUCUUUGAACUCACCAUGGGUCGUUCCCUCUUGGUGUGUUUUCACUUGAGAUCCCACACUGAACACCUAGACCCAGAGCUCAAGGAGUUUGUAAUCUGGACUUUCCAGAUUGUUCAGUGUCUGCCAGUGGCUGGUGAAGCUUGUGGCUGUCAGAUCUGCAUUGGUUGCUGUCACCCCGAGGAUUUGAGAAGGAAAGGGAAGCAGUGCUUUUGGUGACCU
rnacentral:lncRNA from 1 species